rnacentral:tRNA from 1 species
GGGUCUAUGGCGCAGUUGGUAGCGCGCUUCGUUCGCAAUGAAGAGGUCGGCAGUUCGAAUCUGCCUAGAUCCACCA